GUUGGGGGUGUGCGGUGGUUCCUCCCGGGCGGCUCCGGGGCUGCUAAAGCCGCUGCGAGUGGGUGGCGGGGCCCUUCAGGGCGUUUCACGGUCCCUACAGGCGGAGCCCGUUGUGAGGGGGCGCUUGUUGGGGGAAUGGGAUGAGCAGCCUUAAUCCUGGGAGGGGGAUGAGUGUCCCUGAAAUCACCGCGUUUCUGUAUCAGCAAUAGUGUGUCCAGCAGGACUGGGGCAGUGAUCGCUCCCCUGUACUCCUGGUGAGGCCUCACUUCCAAUAAAUGUGUCCAGUUUUGGACCCCGCACGCUGAGAAAGGCAUUGAGGUGCUGGAGCGUGUCCAGAGAAGGGCAACGGAGCUGGUGAGGGGUCUGGAGCACAAGUCUGUGCUCUCAGGUCGCCCACUGGGAUCCUCCUCCCCUUUCGUCACCAUCCAGGGAUUCUCAGCAGUGGCUGCUCUUUGCCUGUUACCUGGAUCUGAACUAUAAGUUGCAACUGUGUGCUGUGAUCUCACCACUGACAUUGACUGGGGAAUGCGAGGAGCUGCCUUGGUCUGGUGGACACCACUAUGGUUCACUGCCUGUCCAUCUUCCUAUCCUUCCCUUUUCCACAGAUUGGAAGAACGGGAUCCCUCCAUGAAGCCCAUGAUAAGACAAGCAUCAGGGAAUGGAAAACGUAAGGAAAACAGGGAGGGAAGUGACAAUAACAGCCUUUGAAGUACUCAGAGCCUGUCCUGGUACAUGAAAUCCAGGUACGUUUUCAAUAGGAGGCACGUGUUAAAGAAGGAACCAUGAGUCCACCUAAACAGACACCCACGAAGCUUCAGUUACAGCAGUGCCCACGUUCCCAGUGACAACUGGAUUUAAACCCUUUUCAACAGGUGUGGCUGAAUAACAUAUUCCUAACAUACCCCAAGUAAGUAGGUCUGGACUACAGAAUUGUCUACGCAAAAGUGACCCUCUAGACUGGGCAAGGCAGAGGAUGUGUGUAGGAUGUUUCUUGCCACAUCAUUUAGACUUACUAACUGCACCAGUCCUGCUACACUAAUCUGGGCUCAGGCUCUGGAAAGCUGUUCUCCACACUGGUCAGUUGUCAGCAUGGUUCUUGGCCUAGUUUUCACCCAGACCAACCAGCGCUGAUCUUCUCGAGCACAGUUCAGGAGUCAACAAAGGCCAGGAAUUAGAAUCAUAAAAUGGUUUGCGUUGGAAGGGACCUUAAAGAUCAUCCAGAUCCAACCCCCUGCCCUGGGCAGGGACACCUCCCACCAGACCAGGUUGCUCCAAGCCCCGGCCAACCUGGCCUUGAACCCCUCUAGGGAUGGGGCAGCCACAGCUUCUCUGGGCAACCUGGGCCAGGGGCUCACCACCCUCACACUAAAGAAUUUCUUCCUAAUAUCUAAUCUAAAUCUCCCCUCUUCCAGUUUAAAAUCCUUACCCCUUGUCCUAUCACUACACUCCCUCAUAAAGGGUCCCUCCCCAUCUCUCCUGUAGGCCCCCUUUAGGUACUGGAAGGCUGCUAUAAGGUCGCCCUGGCACCUUCUCUUCUCCAGGCUGAACCCUCCCAACUCUCUCAGCCUGUCCUCACAGCAGAGGGGCUCCAGCCCUCGGAUCAUCUUUGUGGCCUCCUCUGGACCUGUUCCAACAGGUCCAUGUCCUUCCUACUCUGAGGACUCCAAAGCUGGACACAGUACUCCAGGUGGGGUCUCACCAGAGCAGAGCAGAGGGGUAGAAUCCCCUCCCUCGCCCUGCUGGCCAUGCUUCUUUUGAGGCAGCCCAGGGUGUGGUUGGCUUUCUGGGCUGCCAGAGCCCAUUGCCGGCUCAUGUUGAGCUUCUCAUCUGUCAACACCCCCAAGUCCUUCUCCUCAGGGCUGCUCUCCAUCCAUCCUCCAUUAUUCCCAAGAGCAACGUGGAUGCAGCCAUCUCGUUUUGGACUGGUAUAUGAUAGGGUUGGUGACACACUGAGAUCUGUUGAACUUGCUACAGGCCUUGCAUCUGCUACUAGGGGGCUGUAUCAUGAGCAAGCUGGGCGCCGUGGCAAACACAGGGCUCAUGAGCUGCCUCUGGAGCAGCAAGAGGGACAGGCAGCUUCAUGCCACCAUUUGCCAAUGUCACAAGGAUUGUCCCCGAGGUUUACAUCCUGGGUUGGGAAGGUCAGAGGGAAGAGGAGAAGUGUGAGUGUGCUCAUCAAGCAAAGCAAAGUAGCAGGGCCUUUUCUGCAGAGGGAAUGCACCUCCACGCUCAGCUGCCCAGGGACACAUGGCAAAGGGAGUCUGAAUAAACCCUGUGCUUCCCUACAUGAGGAGGUCAGACCCAGCCUCAUUGUUCCUAUGUUGGGGACUCACUGGAGUUGCCUGAAUCAAGACCCCCAUCAACCUACCAGCUUCUCUCUUUGCAGUGCCGACACAGGAGCCUCAUGGUUGCCACCAUUCCCUCCCAUAUCACAACUGCUCCAUCGUGGUGCUCAUUGCUGCAUGAUGCUGUGGAAGGAUUCAGGGGUUGAAAAGGGGUCUGACACAUAAGGUACCAUUAAACACAAUGGUCCAGCUGCUACUCCCAGCUCAGGAAGUCAUUAAAGACAUGAUUACAGCAGACAAAGAGAUAUGCAAAACAGAAAGAUCACUCCAGACUUGCCAUGCGUCUUACACUUUUUCCUGCACAUCAGCUUUUGGCCACUGUCUCGGGCCACGUGCUAGGUUAGGUAGACCUUCAAUUUGAUUUAACACUGUCAUUCUUCUUUUCAGAUGUUACUGAAUACAGGUUAAUGGUGCUUUUUGUGGAGCCCCAAAGCAACAAACCAGUUGGUUUUGACAGCAUAUUUGGCUGCUUGAAUCCAUGCCUCUGCUUGCUCCACCAGCACGUGUCUGCCCCUGUUACGUACCUCAGUGGGGUGACAAACUGGGAUACAGCAACUCUCUGAGCUACGACAGGAACAAUAAAACGAAUGACUGAGCGAUCUCACGUUCUUGCGGCUUCCCAAGCAGCCAGGAAACACCACGUUGUUCAGGACAUUUCCAUUUCGAACACUGCAAACUUUUGUAAUUUCCACACGCUCCUCGUAAAACAGGAGCUGGGCUGGAGCGUUCAUUUGUUCACUCACCGUAGGGUCAAUGAGACAGGGAACAUAUGGUGGCACACUUAUCCCACAGACGUGUUCAAAUCCACAUCUAGGGCAAACGGCAGCACUAAUAGUGCUUGUAAAUACCAUUGCUUGCUUAGCUUCUCUGAAGCACUUGGGAAAGUGCUCUGCCUGAAAGGAACAUCUCUGCUUUAACUCAGCACUCGGGUCCCAGCUUGUUCUACAGAGAAAGAGAGAUUUACAAACAGGUAAAACGCACAUGCACACGCGAUCAGAUGUUUUGUGAAGUUUUAGGCAUGGAGUUGGAAAAAAUCCCAGUUUAAUCUGGCGAGGUGUACCUCUAAAACCCUGGAAUAGUGUCUACCUUCCCAGCGGUACUUAGAAAGCGGGCGCUGCCAGAGGUCAGCACAGGAUCAGUGCUGUCUAAGCCAGUCCUCACUGAAGGGUGUCUAACCCCUUCAUAGAAUCACAGAAUGGUUUGCGUUGGAAGGGACCUUCAAAGCCCACCCAGUUCCACUCCCUGCCCUGGGCAGGGACACCCCCCACCAGCCCAGGUUGCUCCAAGCCCCAUCCAACCUGGCCUUGAACCCCUCCAGGGAUGGGGCAGCCACAGCUUCUUGGGGCAACCUGGGCCAGGGGCUCAUCACCCUCAGAAUAAAGAAUUUCUUCCUCAUAUCUCAUCUGAAUCUCCCCUCUUUCAGCUUGAAACCGUUACCCCUUGUCCUAUCAUUACACUCCCUGAUAAAGAGUCCCUCCCCAUCCUUCCUGUAGGUCCCCUUUAGGUACUGGAAGGCCGCUAUAAGAUCUCCAUGGUGCCUUGUCUUCUCCAGGCUGAACCCCCCCAACUCUCUCAGCCUGUCCUCAUAGCACAGGUGUUCCAACCCUCGUAUCAGCCCUCUGAUCAUCUCCACUUGGGAAUGCUCAGCUCCCACUCAGAUAACCUACCCAGUGCUGAUCUAUCCUACCAGGAGAAAGUUUUUCCUGGUGUCUCACCUCAUGCUCCUUUUCAGCCUGAAGUCCAUUUGUUCACUUUUUCCUUACUGGUUUGUUUUCUAGACUGUUUAUCCUCUCACAGUAAGAUCUCGAAGCCACCCUUGUGCCCAAGCACUGUAUAAAGAUACUGAUCUUCAAUUAAACAACGAUAUCAUGGCCUGGCCUUCUUCUCUGUGAAGAUGAAGGUGCUGAUGUCUGGUCCCUGUAACUCUACUCUUAUUUGCGUGGUUUCAACCCAAGCCAGCUAGCCUGGGUUUCUAGACAUGGUUUCAACCCAGGCCAACUGGCCUUGGUUUCUAGACAUGGUUUCAACCCAGGCUUACUAGCACUGAGCCAAACCAUCCCCAGGUGCUACUAGGGAGUUAGCACAUGUCAUGCGUCAGUCCCAACAUGCAGUUUGGGCAUAGCCAUGUUGACCUUUUCCACCGGUCUGUGCCUCAACUCUUGUGAAAAAAGCUACUUCCAAAACUUCCUUAUAGAACUAAAAACUGGGCAAAUCUACAGAAAAUUCACAUUGAAAACCUGGUCUAGGUGGAGGCAACUGCUACCUACCUGGUACUAGAACAUAGCGGGAGUCCACUCUGCAGGCAGAUGAGGAACAGCAUAGAAAAUGGUCAGGUUAGAGACUGAGCUGAAGUUGUCCUCUCCAGAAGUUGUUUGUCAGUAGGAAGCCAGGGAAAAGUACUAAGGAAAGUGUUAAAAGGGAACUUGGCAGGUUGAUGAAAGGGAACAGGGAGCCUAUUUUGCGAGAAGGAUAUCCUGGGAUGGGGAUUAGGAGGAAAUAUAGCUGUGUAAAGCAAUUUCUUCACCUGUUUGUUCCCCACCCUGCUAGAAGAAAGAUGGUCUGUCCAGGAUUGCUGCUCUGGUCUGGCCCCGGUGUGGGUUAAAACCCCUUGGCAUUUAUUUCUGCCUCCCUUACCACCCUCAAAGGUAUCCUGGCUGGUUUUUUUCAGCACCUCUUCCACUAGGGUCCCUUCACAGCUUCUCCCACUGUCCUGGGAUCUCUGUGGCCUCAUCCCUAUGUCCUCCCACUCUUCUCUCCCUUCUCCUCCCCAUCCCAGGCUCAAAACCCCAUUGCUAAAAUAUUUGCCCAGUGUUCGUGAGCCACACUUGUCAUUGUACGUGGAGAAGUGCAGGAAUCUCAUUUUUCCUGACACAACUUGGGAGCUGAGAGCAUGGAGGGGUAAGAAGAGAUCCUCUUUGCAUCUUUGGGUUGAUUAAGCAAGCCCAAGAGAGCGGUUUGGUAGCUCCCAACCCAAACCACAACCUGUGCUGCAGCACACAGGUCAUCAUGCCUCCAGUCCUGCGGUCAGUGGCAUGUGCUUGGCUAUAGCGGAGGGUAGGAAAGGAGUGGUCCAUCUCCCUUCAGCUAAGUGUCUUUCUGCCCCUGAAAGGACAGGUGGGGCCACAGUGAGUGAGGUACAGGGUACAGUGGUUGGAAAGCGUUGCCUUCACGCAAACUUAGGGCAACGGUGUGAAAGUUUGUCAUGGAUGCCAAUCCCCAACACAAGUUCUCCUGUGCUGAAAAUCCCACCUCCCUCCUGGUGGGAAGCAGAGGAAGAUGCCCCACAACAGCCAGUGUAUGCUGCUCAUCCACCCCAGAAGACAUGGUUUCCUUCUUCCUUAAAAUAAGUCAGCUUUUCCUGGAAUGUGGCUUUUCUGGUGGUAACCUAUUUCCCCUGACUCUAAAUGACUCCAGCACACCCAGCAACCCCCUUUGGGGAGAGCAAUCUGUAAGAUUCAUUCUUCUUUCUUAAAGAGAGUCAUGACGAGGGUGGACUCCAGGGCUCCCCUCAACUCAUGCCAUCUUUCCAGAUGGCACCUGCCCCAUCCUUUGGGGAGGAGUGGAUGCAAUGUAGAAAGUGCCUGUCCUUGACUGGUUUGCAGAGAUGUAGGAAUCCAAGAGGAUUAUUUGAGUCAGAAUAAAUGUAACUAUCUGCAGUGAGUGCCCACCCUCACCUGUUUUUCUUCCAGAUGCCUCCCGAUAACCCAUGCGCUCUCUUCUCUGCUGUCCCUUAGGUGUAAUAUUGAGGUUGCACAGUCCUCCGCCCGCUUUGUCCUUCUCCAUUCAAUAUCUCCCAGACCUGCCUUCCAAGGAAAGUUUGGCAGUGUCCUGAAAUUCAGAUCCUUCCCAGAGCAUCCAGGAAGCAGAAGGAAGUUUGGUUUGAGCUAUCAUUGUUUAUGAGACCCCUCUCUUCCUACAAUGUAUUCUUUAAUAUGCAGUGAAAUGCUGGACCUUCCCAGCUGCGUAGGGCUAGCUCUGGAGUCCUCUCUGCUGCAAACUAUGACAGAUGUGUCAGAAUGACUUGCUCUCUUUGUAUCAUAUGGACUUCUUGAAAUGAAGGUGAUACCUUCUGGAGAAUCACGGAAUCACGGAAUCUUCAGAGUUGGAAGGGACCUCUAGAGAUCAUCUAGUCCAACUCCCCUGCUAGAGCAGGAUUGCCUAAAGCACAUCCCUCAGGGCUGCAUCCAGGCGGGUCUUGAAAAUCUCCAGAGAAGGGGACUCCACACCCUCCCUGGGCAGCCUGUUCCAGUGCUCUGUCACCCUCACUGUAAAGAAGUUUUUCCGUGUAUUUGAACAGAACUUCCUAUGUUCUAGCUUGUGCCCAUUUCCCCUUGUCCUGUCACUGGGAACCACUGAAAAGAGUCUGGCUCCGUCCUCCUUAAACCCACCCUUUAGGUACUUGUAAACAUUAAUCAGGUCCCCCCUCAACCUUCUCUUCUCCAGGCUAAAGAGUCCCAGCUCUUUCAGCCUUUCCUCAUAAGGGAGGUGCUCCAGUCCCAUAAUCAUCUUGGUUGCCCUGAAAAUCACCAAGAUUUUGCGACAUCGCUGUACAAGAAGCCCACUUUACCCAUCACUUCCCAGGGGUCAGGUGUUUGACCACAGAACCGAUAGCACAAAGCAGUUUUAUUUUGAACGGCCUGGGCAAGUUUGAUGAGGAACUUUCCUGGAGUCUGUCUGUGCUGAAGUUCAUUCUACUUUGAAAUAUGAGGGUGGAGAAAUUGCACGUUCAUAUUCCCACUGCUACAAAAACCCUCUCCAGGAUGAAGAGAGCAGUGGUUUCUUGAAGGGGAACAGCUAUGUAUUUCAGUCAUGGAGAAUAUUAUCUGCUUUUCCUGAUAAUACCCAGCAGCUGUCACCAGAGAUCAGCACCCCACUGGGCCUCUGCAAUGAGUGUCCACCCUCCCCUGUUGUUCAUGUGCUAUGCGGUCCAACAAGUUGUCAUGAUGUUCCUCAGUGGUUAUGUCUACAGCAGUAAAUUGAACAACUCCUGGACAAGUUUAUGAGCACACUCCUUAGCACAGUUUUGGACCAGGUCAGCUGGAAAUGUCACAAAUAAUCCUUGGACUUGGCUCAGGAAUUAGAAUAGGCCAUCCCAAAUAGGUGGUUUGGAUGUUACCACCCUGCUCUGGAGGCUGAGGGAGUUUGGUAGCAUGGACCUGGCCAGAUGGUGCCUUAGAACCAAGGAUGUAGUCAGCAUUUACCUCGUGGUGACAAGCAGAUUUGCUCUCCAUGCAAGGCCAACCUCCAGCACCAAUACAGAGGCCUCACGAGCAAGUUUCUCUCCUUACAGCUGGCACAUCCUCCGUGCCCGUAGGCAAGAGGUACCCAUUGCAUGAUAGACCUGCGUCUGAAGGAGGACGGCUUGCACAGCCCGCUUUGUACUUGGGCUUUCUCAAUGAAGUGAUGGAUCAAGGGGUCAGUUACCAUUAACUGGGCUCAACACAUGUUUAGGUUCGGCAGGGGGUUGGUGAGGGACAAACUGAAGCUGGAAAACUGGAGCAGAGAAGCCAAAGCACAGCUCAUUGGCAGCAACAGAGACGUCUCCCUCCGUGUGCGUGGUGGGUUUAUGCACCAUCCUGGGCAGGGGUGUGGAGGAGCAGGAGGUGACAAGGCAGAUGACUGAAGCAAAUCAGGACUAGGAGUUGAAUUUGGGGGUUUGGUGGAGGAGACAGUCAAUCCUUACUGAUGGAUUGAGUGAGUGGGGAUGAGGAGGGACGGGACAGGUGUCAGGCACACAGUCCUUGUGUGGGUAGGCUCAAUGUGGGGACCACAUCACUGCCAGAGGACGCAAACUACUUCCCUUGCAGCGGUGCACACGUCAGACGUGUGGUGGUGCCAUCCCCUACCUGGGGACUCCACAGGGAGGUCCUGUCACCUAGAGCCACCGGCAGAUAAUUACGUUUCCAGCUGCACGGUAUUUUAUUUUGGGUAGUUUACCCUCUUUACCCACCAGGUCUUCUACUCUCAGGCUACCUCGUCCUGUGGUUUGACCCAGUGUCCAUUGGGUUUUCCUGGAGCAUCCUGCUAAAGACAAAAUCUUGCUCUGGUUUAAAAGAAACUCAGGAUUGCCACGAGCUGAAAUGUUGCAGGUCUGCUUUUGGUUUCGUAGGCUGUGUGUCCAGCGCAGAGUAGAAAGGAAAGAAUAAAAAGAAUAAAAAGACACAGCACACUUCAAACAUGUUAUUAAAAUGAACUGUUUAUAUUAUCUCAGUUGAGUCAAUACAUUAUAAUGUAUUAAAAUGGAAAGGUACAAAAUUGAAAUAAAUACUUUCUGAUUCAUGUAUAAAUCUUUUGUCAAGAUGACAUUUUGUUUGUUUUUUUUUUUUUUCAUCAGUACAUGUUUCAAUAAAACAUUUAAAAUGACAAAGUAUCAUUUAAAAUAUGGUUCAUGGAAGAGAAGGUUGAAAUCAAACAACUUUUGGCUUGUUUUGGCAUGAGAUCUUGACACAAUCUGGGUUCCCCAAAACCACGUAAAUGGUGGUAAAAUAUAAAUGCUCAAACUUAUUUAAAAAAAUAAACAGGCUUUACAAAACCCUCUGAUCCUUGACUUAGCCACUUUUCUGUAUAGUCUGCACUUACGAUAUAUACAUUCAUUAUUGUCCAAGGGAAGACAGCCACUGACGUUCAUUUAAAGAGCUUGGUGGAGAGGCCUAACAAACAUUAUGCAGCUGACUACAAUUAACACGGUUUAAAAAAUUCCCGACAGUGCAAAAAAUAAAAAAAAAAACAAAAACCCAAACCAAAAAAAAACCAGCUCAGAAAUCAAAGCGUACAAAUGGGACAGGGAAGAGGCAAGUGCACGAGCCCAGAUCUGAUGCAAAGCUCCAGGCGUUUCAGCCAGGUCUAAUAAAAAACAGCUUUUUUUUUUUUUUUUUUUUUUUUGCCAGGAGCAGCCUGCUGGUCAGCUGCUUCUGCGGAGAUCUACCAGCACGCACCGAACGUAGACCUGUUUGCUGAAACGGGGUCAUUUCAGGCUCACAGGGGUAUUCCCGAUCGGUGCUCCCGGGAAAAUCACCUUCUGCAGACCUUCUGCAGAGACCCGUUUCUCGUUGGCGGUGAAGGCGAGAGCCGCGCUAAGCAGAACAUACUGGUGUGAGCCUGGCCUGGGCGAGGGGGGUGAUGUCUAGAGGAGAAAUCGCAGAGCGGGACGGGAGGAGGGGGAGUGUGAACGUGGGUCCGGGACCUUUGAGAAAAGGCGGCGGGGAAUUGACUCCUAGGCAGCGGGUUUUAUCAGGAUCGCGGAGCAGGCUUGUUCGUGUGCUUUAGUCUCAACAGUGUGCUUAUUUCUUUGUCACCGCAGCCGUGGGCUGUUCUGGUCCCUCUAACCUCUGCCAUGUGCUUAUCGUUGUGGGGCAAUGGACGGGGUGC